rnacentral:lncRNA from 1 species
AGGAUGACUAACAUCCUGAGUUAGACACAGCAGGAUCCAGCAAGGAGCCUCCCAGAUGGAGUACAUGGAGACCAUGACUGUGAAAGAUGAGGAUCAAGUGCAGAUUUGGUGGCCUCUGAUUGCCAGUAUCUGGCAGCCACAUUCUCUUCCCACAAGAUGUGCUGGAAAUAUGACCAAGCAGAAGUUCACUUAAGUGAAUCCAACAGUUAAACCUACCAUGGAAGGGUGUGGUGCACAGAGGGCAUGUGGAGAAGAGAAGACCACAGUGGGAACCUCCAAGGAACUAACAUCUAGCUGGGGAUGAGGGGGGAUUUGGCUAUGUAGAGAGUAAAUAAAGUGAUAUGAGAAUUAAAGUAAGGGGCCAGUUAUUUCCAAAUGGGGAAAUGGGGCAGGCUUCAUGGAGAAGGGAACGUUUAAUCUGGGUCACAUGGAAUGAAUAGGACUGGAAAUGGAGUUUAUAAGAGCGAGAAUAUUUUACUUAGAGGAAACUACAUUUAAAGAAAGGAUGGCUGUGUAGGUGUAUUGCUUCUUUGCAGAUACAUACAAUUUAAUAUGCCUGGAGUGCAGAUUCUAUGUGACUGAGGUGAGUAGGGACAAAGGGAGAGAUGAUUCAGAGAGGCAGAUAGAGGAAAAUCAUGCAGGGCUUAAUUUCUAGGAUAAAAGUUGGUGACUUUUUCAUGGGUGUGUGUGUCAGGGAAGAGGGUAAAAUUAUAGUGAGUAAAAGCACAGACUUUGGGAUCAAAGUAAUGGGUUUCCAUCAUGACUCUGCUUCUCCCUGGUGAUAUCAACUUGUGUGAAUAUGUAAUGACUCUGACCUUCAGUUUUUUCAUCAAUAAAUGAUAAGCAAUAAUACUAAUUUAAUAGAGACUUUCUGAGGAACAAAUAAGACUAUGUACCCAAAGGACUUAGAUUAGGACCUGCCACUCAGUAACAACACUCAGUAGAUGUGAUCAUGCUAUAGAGGACAGAAAUUCCUCUAAUCCCAACACAGACACUCUCUUUAGCUGCAAAUAUGAUGUCCCCUCUCCCCUAGAUAAGGCAAACUGAUCCUGCUGGGCCUAGCUGGUUGCCAGAUGGAUUAGAACACUGGACUCAGAACAGACUUCCAUGAUAUCUUUAAGAAAAACUCACAUCAAAGUCAUGUAGAAUGUACAAUAGAAUUAUCAAUGAGGAAGGGAGAAUCUGGAAAGAAGGCAACCAAAAGCCAAAGG